AAUAUACUCCCUUCGUCCGAAAAUUCUUGUCAUCAAAAUGGAUGAAAAGAAAUGUAUUUAAAACUAAAAUACAUCUAGAUACAUCACUUUUUAUUUAUUUUGAUGACAAGUAUUUUUGGACGGAGGAAGUACCUA
rnacentral:pre_miRNA from 1 species